UCCUGAAUUUUGAGUUCAUUUGGUUUCAUUUUAGAUGUGGAUAUGUUUAUUCACGAUUUGCGUUUGUGAUUCCUUUUUUGUUCACAGUGAUUGGAGAGCUGUUUCAUUUAACUUCGAUAUGUGACAGUGAAAACAAUUGCGGCUGUAUCAACAUUGAUGAAGGAGUUCCCGUGAUCGGAAUGGAGUACAAACUGUCUCAGGUGUUGCAGUUCUCUUGGUCAUCAUUGAAAAAGUCAGGGUCUAACUUACCAAGAGAUUGCUAAAAUUCCCUUAGGAGAAGGAUCUAUGAGACAUGGUCAGGUCCUGGAGGUUAAUGGGGAGAAAGCAAUUGGCCAGGUAGAGGAGUCCCAAAGGUUAACAUAACAAAAAACUGCAUUGUUGAUUGUUCUCAAUCAUUCACUAUGGUAAAACAUCUACCAUUACCCUUAACAAAGUAGCUGUUUCUGUUGAAGGCGUUGAAGCCAAACUAUGGCAGGUACCAGAGCCGCUUCCAGAAGAAGCACUCUCUAAGAUGAGCACACCACCAAAGAGUGAAUCACCAAUCAUCACACCUAACGACCUAGCUGAAGCUGAUGGGUUCGUCUUUGGAUUCCCAACAAGGUACGGCAUGAUGGCUGCUCAGUUCAAAGUCUUCUUGCACGCUACAGGUGGACUCCAGAGAACUCAGUCUCGCGGGUAAAACAGCUGGAUCUUCUACAGCACUGGCUCUCAAGGUGGUAGCCAAGAAAGCACUGCGUAAGUUCCCAUGAAACCAUGAGAGUCAUGUAUGAGCCGUAGUUUGUCAAUAAUAAAGUAGAUGUUUUUUUCUCAAGUCAUGUUCACGCAUACGUGAGGUCAGUAAGUACACAAAACUUUAGCUAUUUAUGUCUCCGUUUAAACUAUAGAUUAUGACAAUUUUGAGCUUCUGCGAAGCCAUGAACUCAUAUCAAACAUAGCAGACACCAUGGUUAAUAACAUUUCCAGUCCACUAAAAGAUCAAUCUGCUCAUGUCUACAUCAUUUGUGAUGGAGGAAACAUUGAAGGAUUUGCUACCAAGUCAGCUAUAUAAUAAAGGACUUAUGGUCA